rnacentral:rRNA from 1 species
AGCGAACGCUGGCGGUAGGCCUAACACAUGCAAGUCGAACGGCAGCACAGUAAGAGCUUGCUCUUACGGGUGGCGAGUGGCGGACGGGUGAGGAAUACAUCGGAAUCUACUUUUUCGUGGGGGAUAACGUAGGGAAACUUACGCUAAUACCGCAUACGACCUACGGGUGAAAGCAGGGGAUCUUCGGACCUUGCGCGAUUGAAUGAGCCGAUGUCGAAUUAGAUAGUUGGCGGGGUAAAGGCCCACCAAGGCGACGAUCCGCAGCUGGUCUGAGAGGAUGGUCAGCCGCCCUAGAAGUGGAACACGGACCAUAGGCCUGCGGGAGGGAGCAGUCGGGUAUAUUAGACAAAAGGCGCGAGCAUGGUCCAGCGAUACGACGUGUGUUAAGAAAACGUUCGGGGUGUGAAGCCCUUUUGUGGGGAAAGAAAAGCAGUCGGUUAAUACCCCGCUGUUCUGACGGUACCCAAUAAAUAAGCACCGGCUAACUACGUG